GAGAGAUCACAUGUCCCAGCUGAUGCGCAGAUUCUUCCCCACUGAAAUGGACGUUUCUGCCAAAGUCAAUGAGUAAAACUGACAGUGCGGAUGACUAACCUCCAGCCCAGAGCCUUUGGCAGCUCACACCUUUGUGCAAAGCACGAUCCAGUAGUUCCCUUUGGUUCUUUAUCAGCAUCUAUUUCUCUGAUGAGCUUGAGGAACUGUUAUUAUUAGCUAUAGGUACACGCCUUUAUAUCCUAGAACAACACCAAAAUAUCAUUUUAAGUUGAUUCUUCUCAAACAAUGACCAUCUGUAUAAAAUACGAAUGUCUGACCAAGGAAAUAUGUGUGUUUUUUGGAUAAUACAUGCAUGUUUUGGAGACACAAUUUUAAAAGUUACACAGAUUGGUCCCGAGGAUUCACAGACUGGUCUAAGGCUCUGGACUCCACCUUGAUUCACCAAUUUGCCUAAAAUAUGCUACAAAAGAAACUUCUGUGUUGCAGAAGGCUUCAAGGUGCUGUUCAUGUUUUCAGAAUGAUCUGCGACAAUAUCAGGUUUGAUUGUGACCAUCCUAUAUCAGAUCUCUGAAACCUUCAGGAGUUGAGGCCUGGCUAGUGCUUGGCUAGGGAUGGGCCUGUGAGGAUGACAGCGUCCCUGUUCCUGCUGUGUUCUCUGCUUCCCGUCGGCUGGGAUGUGAACAACCUCUGCUAUCCCUCUCCACCAUAAACUGUGCUACCACAGUCGCUUCCCUUCAGCGAUGGGCUCUGAAACAGUGGUCCUGGCAGAGCAUCCCAGAAGACAACACUUUAUUGUCUGGAAACAGGCCUGCAUAGCCCAGAGCAACAGGCCCAGUGCUGUGGACAAAGCUUUGAGCUGGCCAGAAGGUUCAUGUGCUGGUGGCUUAGUCUCCACUGGAACACUGCAGAAAGCUGGAAGGACGUUAACAGUAUGAGGCAAGAAGUGGGUCUGGCUUGUUCACAUCUGUCGAGACACUGGUAUACAAGAAUGCCCUCGGUGUUUAAUUGCAGAAUAAGUCAAAGGGUGCCAGUUCAGUGGAGUAAAGAGAAAAAGAUUGGCUGAAGUCAUAAGCAACACAGCUGUGCUGGAGAAAAGUGUAAGCUUCGAGACUGAUCUUCAAGAUGCUUUCAAUUAAAUAUUAAGUAAUAGUGUGGCUUGAACAAUUGUAUGUAAAAAAAUUAGGAUAACUUUAGUUAAUUGAAUAGUAUUAAAAAUUAUAGGUAUAUUUUC
rnacentral:lncRNA from 1 species